CCCUUAGAUGUUCUGGGCUGCACGCGUGCUACAAUGGCGUUUCCAGCAAGUCUGCGAACCCGAGAGGGCCAGCGGAUCUUCGAAUUGGCGUCGUGAUCGGGACAGUCGAUUGCAAUUAUUUGACUCAAACGAGGAAUUCCUUGUAAUCGCGAUUCAUCAUAUCGCGCUGAAUACGCCCCUGCCCUUUGUACACACCGCCCGUCGCUCCUACCGAUUGAGCGAUCCGGUAAAUGUUUUGGAUUGGUGCCGGGGCGGCUAGCUGCCGGUCGCUACGAAAUUUUGUGAACCUUAUCGCUUAGAGGAAGGAAAAGUCGUAACA
rnacentral:rRNA from 1 species